CAGCGAGGCUAAGCUAGUGGGAGCAAAGUUUCAGUGCAUUCCGUUGAUGUAGACGGCGUGAAAACGGAAACAACAAGUAUGCCGUCUCACUGUGCUGCAUACAAUUACACACUGCGUCGUACGAUUGACACAAGGAAACUUGGAAUGACUUUUCAUAGGUUUCCCAGAGACUAUGGGUUGAGGAGGAAGUGAAAGUUUGUCGGCUUAGACCUGGUGCCAUUCCGUCAGUGUUAAACUUCCUGGCUCAUCUUGGAAGAGUACGUGCCAGAAAGACCACGACCAAGCAGCCUUGAGAUCUUAGGCAGCGUCUCCCUGAGGUCCCUCUCUAUCUCCCCACACAUCCACCAACCACUGGUGCACAUCUCCAAAGUUCUGCCGGGCCAGCUCAGCUUCCCUUCAGAAGAAGUUCCACCAGAUGAAGGAGCCUUUUGAGAGGCAGCUGGCAUCGUGAUUGGACUGUACUUUGGUCUGUUCCAAUCCAGCUUCAGCCCCAGAGACGGCAGGCGGGACGAGUCAACGGAAGCCGGGUGGACGAAGGCAUGCAGCUGAGUACAAUCCAGAAAACAACAGAGGAGGAGUGCAGUGGCCCAGGACCAGAACAAACAGUAGCAUGACCAAAGAACUACAGACUCUUCACAACCUGCUCAAACUCUUGGUACAGGACCUCACCACACGGUCAAGAAGGUUUCCUUCUCCUCAUUUCUACUCUGAAGCUCACCUUCUCCUGCUCAAACUGCUGACAAAUGUUUCUGCUGCUCUAAAGUCUGGUCUCCAGAACUUCCUAAAAACUCUCCAAGUGUCUUCUGCUGCAGGUUGCUAUGUAGAACUGUUGCAGAAAACCUCACUAAACCACAUGGAGGGGCCUCAAGAUAGUCGUCCAAAUGAAACUGUACAAAAACCAAACUAGCACAACCCAAACACUAAAGUCUCCUGCAGCCUACCAGAGAACCUCUGAAAACAGAGAAUCAGGACAGGAACUCUUACCUUCUGGACAACCAACGCUGGUUCUCAAACAAGAAUACAGAAUGUGUCUGACCAAAAACCUCUGAAGACUCACUACAGCCAAGAUAAAGACACAGCUGCACCAAAUCCACUAAUCACUGCACACAUUAGCACCAUGUGCUAACUGUGGCUAAAGAACCUCAUUUACCAAGACAACUAUCCAGUACAAAGCCCGAAAACACACCAAGAAACACAUUAAAGCCGAUUUUACUGCUGGAAGCUGCAAGCCAACGCCUAAAGAACUAACUAAAGCAACAGAGCCAAACCCAGUUCAGUGGUGAAGAGAAGCAGAGGAAAUGUUUGUCUGCAGCUAAAUAAAGCAGGAAGACACUGAGCUGCUCAGGUGUUCCUGAUAACACCAAGCUGCUCAGGUGUUCCUGAUAACACCAAGCAGCCACCUGGACAGCCAAUAGGAACACAGCUUCCUGGAAGUCCAGAGGGCUGGCUUAGUGAAGGAAAUUUAAUUUAAAGUUGAAGCAGAAAGUUAAUAAAGAAAGUUGAAAACCACCUUCUGAUUCCUGAAAUCUCUGAGUUUUUACACAAAGAACACCUGAACAUGUCAAACUGGUUCCAUAGUAGAACCAUCAUUGUAAAAAUGUCAUAGUAUGGUGUGUUGCUCAAAAAACAUUAGGACCUGGCUGUCAGGGGACAAACAUGUAAGAAACAUGAGAACAGAGAGAACCCAACCAGUAGGUCACAGUUUAUCAUCCCCCAGUCAUCUCCUGAAGUCCAUAUGGUGAGAGACAUCAGUAUCUGGUUGUUAAUUUACUAGAGGAUGCUUAUAAUCAUGCUGAUGUGGUCUGUACUCUACAGUAUUUUAGUGACUCAAUAAAUGCCUAAGUUGUUUUUUUAAAAAUGCUUUUUAGUUUUUAAUGAACAUUUAAUAGCC
ensembl:lncRNA